ACGUACGACCAUAGGUACUGGACAGCUCGGGAUCCCGUCCGCUCUCCCAUCGAUAAACCAGUAACCGUCGGCUAGUACUCAGGUGGGUGACCACCGGGGAAUCCCUGAUGUUGUACGUU
rnacentral:rRNA from 1 species